rnacentral:rRNA from 1 species
ACUAAUACUUGACUGUUUUGACGUUACCGACAGAAUAAGCACCGGCUAACUUCGUGCCAGCAGCCGCGGUAAUACG